AGAGUUUGAUCCUGGCUCAGGAUUAACGCUGGCGGUGUGCCUAAUACAUGCAAGUCGAACGGACUAACUAGAAUCAUGAAUCAUGAAGCAUGAAUUACGGGCUGUUUAAACUUCCCGGAUUCAUAAUUCUUGAUUUGUGAUUCGCGUUGGUUAGUGGCGGACGGGUGAGUAACGCGUUGGUACCUGCCCUCUAGUGGGGAAUAACUGGCCGAAAGGUCGGCUAAUACCGCAUGUGAUCGCAAGAUCAAAGCAGCAAUGCGCUAGAGGAGGGGCCUGCGUCUGAUUAGCUAGUCGGUAAGGUAAUGGCUUACCAAGGCGACGAUCAGUAGCUGGUUCGAGAGGAUGACCAGCCACACUGGGACUGAGAUACGGCCCAGACUCCUACGGGAGGCAGCAGUAAGGAAUCUUCCACAAUGGACGAAAGUCUGAUGGAGCAACACCGCGUGCAGGAUGACGGCCUUCGGGCUGUAAACUGCUUUUAUAUGGGAAGAUUAUGACGGUACCAUAUGAAUAAGGACCGGCUAACUACGUGCCAGCAGCCGCGGUAAUACGUAGGGUCCAAGCGUUAUCCGGAAUUACUGGGCGUAAAGCGUGUGUAGGCGGAUGUCUAAGUGCAACGCGAAAUCCUGUGGCUCAACCAUAUGGACUGUGUUGCAUACUGGGCAUCUAGAGGAUGGCAGAGGCAAGUGGAAUUUGUAGUGUAGCAGUGAAAUGCGUAGAUAUUACAAGGAACACCAAUGGCGAAGGCAGCUUGCUGGGCCAUAUCUGACGCUGAGACACGAAAGCGUGGGGAGCGAACAGGAUUAGAUACCCUGGUAGUCCACGCCGUAAACGAUGCAGGCUAUUAGUUCGAGGUAUCGACCCCUUGGGCCAAGAAGCUAACGCGAUAAGCCUGCCGCCUGGGGAGUACGAGCGCAAGCUUAAAACUCAAAGGAAUUGACGGGGACCCGCACAAGCAGAGGAUCAUGUGGUUUAAUUCGACGCUACACGAAGAACCUUACCGAGGUUUGACAUCCUAGGAAUCCGCUAGAAAUAGUGGAGUGCCCCUCAGCGCGCAAGACGCGCAAGAAACAAGGAUGCAAGAUACAAUUACCAAACAAACUACAAGUUCCAAUAAUCAAUUUUCAAAAUUGAGAUUUGGGAUUUGAAUAUUGUUUGUAACUUGUUUCUUGUAAUUUGGAGCUUGCGUGCACGUCGUGCGCGGCGAGGGGAGCCUAGUGACAGGUGCUGCAUGGCCGUCGUCAGCUCGUGUCGUGAGAUGUUGGGUUAAGUCCCGCAACGAGCGCAACCCUUGCCAUUAGUUGCUACAUUUAGUUGAGCACUCUAAUGGGACUGCCGGUGACAAACCGGAGGAAGGUGGGGAUGACGUCAAGUCCUCAUGGCCCCUAUGGGUAGGGCUUCACACGUAAUACAAUGGCCGGUACAGAGGGCAGCCAACUCGCGAGAGGGAGCUAAUCCCAGAAAGCCGGUCGUAGUCCGGAUUGCAGUCUGCAACUCGACUGCAUGAAGCCGGAAUCGCUAGUAAUCGCGGAUCAGCAUGUCGCGGUGAAUACGUUCCCGGGUCUUGUACACACCGCCCGUCACACCAUGGGAGUGGGUUUCACCAGAAGUAGUUAGCCUAACCGCAAGGAGGGCGACUACCACGGUGAGAUUCAUGACUGGGGUGAAGUCGUAACAAGGUAACCGU
rnacentral:rRNA from 1 species